rnacentral:lncRNA from 1 species
GUGGUGAUAAAUACGGAUGCAAACCAUGAAAAAGAAAAAGCAAGAAACUAGAUCGGAAAAGGUUGGCGGUGUGAGCUUGCACUGGUAGCUCCUCCAUUUGAUCACCGUGUCCAAGUAGAUGUGGGUGGUUGCAAUAUCUUACGGCUCCCUUAUCUGUGCGUGCCAAGUGUUCGAUGGAUCAUUAAAAAAAGAAUGUGGAAAGGAAUCUCCAGACUCUGGGAAGAUGCUUAUCGGGAUCCAAAUCGUCUAACCUCACAUGUCACAUGCAGCUCGGCUGAUAGGGUGCAGCUGUCCGGGAUAUGGUGAGAGCAUGCAUGCAUCCC